CAGACUGGAGGGAGAAAAGAUUGUGAGGCAGCUAGAAGCUUCACGAGCUUAAAAGGGGGCCGCGCGGUCCCACCGGAUUGGGGGCGGCUACAACUCCGCCCCCCAUGGCCGGGCUUCCCUGCGGUCCUGGGGCGGAGCCACCCCUCGGGGUCUGUGGGGUGCGUCUGUCCCAGGACUCUGCCACCCGGCGGCAGAGGGAGGCGUUUGCAGAUUCCAGUGCUUGGCACCAGCCCUCUGUGAAGACUGAACCCUGGCACCUCACCGCUCGCCAAGUCCGUUGACGCUGCUCUGGUCGUCAGUACUAAGCGGGCCCCAGAAAUAACUGUGCCUGGAGCCCUGCAUGAUUUAGCAGAGGAAAACAGAAGGCAGGCAUUCUAAGACAUAGACAUGGGCAAAGACUUUCCAAGGAGGACUCCAACCGCUCAGGAAACUACAGCAAGUGUUGACCAGUGGGACUGCAUGAAAUCAAACAGUUUCUGCACUGCACAAGGAACUCUCAGCCAAUCUCUGGCUCUCUUUGCCCUUGCUUCUGGGAAUGUAAAACAUUACAGAUAUGCUAAAAUCAA